GUGCGCCUACACAUGCAAGUCGAGCGGUAGAAUUAUUAUUGAAUCUUCGGAUGAUUUAAUAAUUUGAGAGCGGCGAACGGGUGAGUAACACGUUGGUAUCUGCCCCCAAGUCAGGGAUAGCCAUUGGAAACGAUGAUUAAUACCGGAUAGUCUCUUCGGAGUAAAGAUUUAUUGCUUGGGGAGGAACCUGCGUUCUAUCAGCUAGUUGGUGAGGUAAAAGCUCACCAAGGCUAUGACGGAUACCUGGUCUGAGAGGAUGAUCAGGCACAAUGGAACUGAGACACGGUCCAUACUCCUACGGGAGGCAGCAGUGAGGAAUCUUCCACAAUGGGCGAAAGCCUGAUGGAGCGACACCGCGUGAAGGAUGAAGGCCUAACGGUUGUAAACUUCUUUUCUGAAGGAGCAUAAUGAGAGUACUUCAGGAAUAAGGGACGGCUAAAUACGUGCCAGCAGCCGCGGUAAUACGUAUGUCUCGAGCGUUACCCGGAAUCACUGGGUGUAAAGGGUUUGUAGGCGGCUUGUUAAGUUGGAUAUGAAAGACCGGAGCUCAACUCCGAGUUUGUGUUCAAAACUGGCAAGCUAGAAUCAAGGAGAGGUAAGCGGAAUUCUAAGUGUAGGGGUGCAAUCCGUA
rnacentral:rRNA from 1 species